rnacentral:lncRNA from 1 species
CUAUGGGAUGCAUCUGCGUAAAGGAAGAAUUCGGCUUCUAAGAUGGGUAAUAAGCAGACAAUAUUCACUGACGAGCAGCUGGAUGCCUACCAGGAUUGCACGUUCUUCACUAGGAAAGAAAUCCUUCGGUUGCAUGGCCGGUACCAUGAAAUGGCACCAAACGUUGUGCCCAUGGACUAUACAAAGGAUCCUGAUGUUAAACUACCUAUGCAGCUUAUAAUAAACAUG